rnacentral:lncRNA from 1 species
ACGCAGGUGAUGCCCAAAGAGAGUAAGUAAAUCAGGCUCCUUCAUGGAGAUUAUUAAAAUCAACACAUACUGGGGAUGCUCAUGUUUAUUCUUCCCAGAAGCAAAUCAGGAAUUAGGGAAUAUCUAAUAAAGAAUAAAAAUUAAGUCUAGUCCUUUCGGAGCCCCCUUUAUUCCUAAAGUUUCUCAAAGAAAGGUCAGCGGCAUCCUGCCCUCUUCUGCGAUCACCUCUCAAACGGAGACGGUGGCGGCGAAGGGCCGGUUGCCACCAGUCCUUGUGUGUUUUCUCAGGGGAGAGUGGAAUUUGGGCCUAGAACGAAGCAAUCAGGAAUGUAGUACACUCCUUUGUGUGUUUUUGAGUUUCUCUCUUAUGUCUCUCUUUUCAAAAGUGUGGCCCCUUGAAUUUCUUUGAAAAGUCUCUUUCUCUCCCUCUCUCUCUCUCUCACUCACACACACACACAUCAUUCCCUUGACCUCUAACAGACCUUGAACAAGAUGAGCUGGGGCUGAGUUAAGGACUCUUUCAGCAAAGGCACAGAGAACAUAUGUGGGGGAGAACAUUUUAAAUCUGUUUCUUAGAGAGCCUACAACCACUGGCACCACCCAGAAGUAGAAAAUCAGCCUAGAACAGCAGCAAAGGUUAAUUGUUGGCCUCAGAAGGCUUUCAAGCUCCUCUAGCAUCCAGAUACUCUUCACAGUCCAUAGCCCUAAAAUUUCAAAAGAAUGUGUAUAUACAUAUAUAUGUAUAUGUAUGUACAUAUAUGUACAUAUACAUGAGACUGAGUCACUUUUAUGUACAGUAGAAAUUGUCACAACAUUGUAAGCCAACUAUACUUUAAUAAAUAAAUAAAUUUCAGAGCAAGGAAGGAGGAAGCCGACCCUUUUCCAAACUUUCCAUUCCCAGAAUGUCCUUGGGAAAGAGAGAGGGACAAGAGGCUCCUUGCAGAGUCACUCUUGGGGAAAAAAAUCACUUGCCCAAGCAGAGGACAAUCUCAGAUUACAAAGCGGCGGUUUUAUGAAGGCUUAGUGCCAGGUAAGAGAGCAAGAGCCUGCCUGAGGCUGGAGCAGGGGGAGGGAGGACUGGACCAGCCUCGCCUCCCAUGACAGUUUCUCAGCACCGCGGACAGCACCCAUACCCAGAAAGGGGACCACAGGCUUGGAAGAGGAUGGAAAGGCCAGAAGCCCAUCCUUUUACUCAGCAAAAGUCAGGAGAGAGAAGAGUCAAGAAAAAGUUAGUACAAAGGUCAAGAGGCAUGACUCUGACAAUUGUCCUGCUAACUACAGACUUUUAACACAUCUGGCUGAGUAAAGGAAAGACAACAUGGACAAGCGUGACGGGGUCUGCUUGGCAAUAACACCCAGUGUUUUGUGCCUUAUACAGAUGACAGGUGCUCUGUUUUGGUGAGUGAUGCACUCCCACAUGAUGCUAUUUGAGAUCAGAAGAUGUAGCAUCUUUCAGUAGCACUGCUCCGGAGACUCCCAAUUCGAAUGUCAGAUUUUCCAUCAAGUUGAACCUACUUGGACAGACUCUUAAUCUCCCUAAGUAUCAGUUUCCUCCUUUGUAAAAUGAGGAAGAGGCAUGCCUACCUUAUGAGAUUGUCACAAAAAUCAAAUAGCAUGUUGUGUGUAUAGAUACCUCUCAAUCACUUUCAGUUGAAUUCUAACCAUUUUAAAUGUUUGUCAUGCUGGCAUAAAGCACAAAUGAACUCCCAUAAGAACUGGUUAUUAUUAUGGUUGUUUUGGUCCAGAAACAUGGUCCCAAUUGACCCAUUUUCCCAAAAAGACGGACAGUUGCGGAGGCGCCCUACGUGAAGAAUCUCUGGUUUACACAUGAGAAAAGAGUUUGACUAAAACAGAACUGCAGCUUUUCAACACAGUCCAAAUCUAUAUACGUAUACAUUAAAAGUCAUGAGCAAUAAAACAAUGAGAUGUACAUCAAAUUUUAAAUUAUAUCUUGAAAAAAAUAACUGUGGAGAUGGAAAAUUUCCUAUUUGAAGCUCAAGGCAAUAGAUUUGCUCUCCUUUCACCCUAUUUCUGAUAUCCCCUCACCACUGCAUGUUCUCUUUUUCCUGCUGGAGCUAUGGGAUUUCCAGCACAGUUUUAAAUCGUAACCUCAAAGAGCCAGCAGUCAUCUGCUGCUAAUGACACUUCUUUCCACAGGGAUUAUCAUGUUGUGCCAGUUCUACAAAAUUGUUAACAUAAGGGAAACUGACCUGAAAAUCAUCUUGCUCUAGCUAUGUUGUUUUAUGGAGGAACCAACACAAGAAAACAGCUUCACUUUGCUGCCCAAUUUUAAGGUCACCUUGGGACGUGAGAGUUGGCAGGGGUUUUUUUGUUUGUUUGUUUGUUUGGGGUUUUGUUGUUGUUGUUGUUGUUGUUGUUGUUCUUUCCAAGGGCAGGAAGAAGAGAUCAAUUUUAAAAAUAAAAAUAGUUGUUGGUACUCUGGUCAAGCCAUUUCUCCCUCUGAACAUUUUGCUCCAAAGCUGACUGAGGAAGUAUAGCCAAAAUAGAAGGCCAAGUGGAAAGAGUCUCUCAACGAUGUGGAUAUUACAAGAAAGCAUCCUGUUCCUCUAAGAGUAUUCCUCCAUCUCCACUCAUUAAAAGACUGUAAAAUAAAUGUCUCCAAAAUCUGCCACCGACUGUAUACUUUAACAGAAGAGAGAAUCAGCCAAAACAAAAAGCUUAAAAACGCAAUUCAUUGCACUUUUCAGGUUUAACUUAACAAGCAAUCAUUUGAUUGUCUACUUUCUGCUCAGCCUGGGACCAGGCACAUUAAAAUGAUUAUACUGUGAGGGCUAUGCAGCUCCCGCCUCUGUGGCCCUUCAGCAUGGAAUUAGUUCAGCUGAUAUGUUUCCACCUCUGCACCACCCCAAUUCCUAACCUCCUUUCUCUUCCCUCCCAGGAGUUCUCCAAGCUAAAAGGAAGCGCUUCCAUGUUUCAGCCUUGCCUCAGAUUCAGCUCAGAUGGAACCGCAAACACAGGCUCCAUUUUUAAGCGGACCCAUCCAAAGAUCCUGUUUCUACUUGAUGAAAUUAAAAUCGCAUCCCCUGGACCUAUAGACGAGGGCAGUGGGUUUUACGCCAACCCCAGACUCCGAUUUCCAGGACCAAUCUGGCAGCUGGGGGAGCGCGAGUAAAGCAGGAAACCACCAAGUGGCUAGAGCUGCCUCACUCCCGCUUUUCUGCCCAGACCAAGAGAUGGGGCAGAGAAGGCCGCUGGAGGGGGAACUGAUGGGGAGGAGGCAAGAUGAGAGGGUGGGAAGCAGAAACACAGUCAAAGCCUUUUCAGUUCACACCGGGGAGAGAGCCCUAAGAAGUGAAAAGAAACCUUGAGAUCCGCCCAGGCCAUUGACACACGAUUGGGGGGCGGGGGGCGGGGGAGUGUGGAAACAGGGCACUCAGACUUUAAUUAGCCAGACUGCGAGCGGGUUAAUUAAAACCAAUUCCGGUACCAUAGGCCCUGACUCCUUCAUCCGUUUUAACAGAAUAUGGGCGGGCGGCUGUUGGCCUUAAACAUCCACGCAUUGGCGUCGGCCAGGACCACGGAGAGCUGCCACCCCAGGUCCUUCUGUCCUUCGCCCUGGGCUGUUCCAUUUCCACCGACCCAACUGUGGCUGCCAAAUGGAAUCUGCCUCCUCUUGCUUUGCUCCCUCCCCACCCAUCCCCGGGGUGACUUCUGGGAGCCUGGAGUCUGGCCUUGAGCUAAGAGCCCUAUGAAGAGUCAAAGCCAAGAGCCAAGAAAGGGGAGCCCCGUAAGUACGGAGGUCUGCAGCGCUGGGAGCUCAGCUUCAGCACCAGAGAGGCAGCACCCAGGGAGAUGACAGAGGGGAGAAGGUGGAGGCAGGACCCAGGAGACAGCAGGGCGGAGGUUAUCCUGCUUUUCUCCCCAGGGCAGCUGGACAAAGUACCCCUUUGGCAAGGUACCCCUUCCCUUCUAGGUGAGGGAAGGGAGAGAGAUGUGUUAGAAGCCUCUCUGCACAGUGGAGCUGGGAUGUCCCAGGAAGGUAAGCUCAGUAUCUCUGUUUUCCCCUCCACACAAGUUUCCUGCCCCUCUUAGCUCUCGGGGUGGGGUGGCCAGAUGUGGAAUUCCUUCACCCCCGGUCUCCCAUCUCAGGAUCCCAAUCGGGUGGUCUCCACACUCCCCAGUUCCUCUCUUUCCAGAUGCCACAAUCCCCAGGUCCUGAAGAAAGAGCUGAGAGGAAGGCUGGGGGUUGAGGAAUGGGGGUUCCUGCCUUUUGCUGGAAGGUGAGAAGGGAAAGUGAGAUCCGUCUGCUUCAGAUGGGUCUUCUCUGCUGGCUUCCAUGCUAAGUGUAGAGGCAGAGCUCGAAGAAGAGAAAAAGUCUUCCUGUCCCUCCAAGACUGAAGAAGCUUUCCAGAGAUAAAGCCGUUGUUGGAGGAGCUGGAGCUUUCUUGGUGUGUGCGUGGCUGGUGAGUGGCAGGAAGCAUGGAGGCAUAUUUCAGUUCUGCUGAGCAACACCUGCUAAGGUUUAAGGCUCUGUGAACCCCCAAAGGACUCAGGGCUGGUCCAGGAGACAGUGGCCAGGGGAGAAGGCUGGACCUAUGACGAGGUGGGGGUGGGAGGAGAGACGAUGGAGGAGGGACGAUGCCCACUGGGGUUUCUUCCUGGUUGGGUAUCAGAAUGGGAAUGCAGACACAUUACUUCCCGUAGGGAUUUAUAGUUUAAAUGACUGCUACUGGUUGUGGGCAUCUAAACAAGAGUCAGAAGAAAGAAGUAUUUGUGGAAGGGAGUCUAGAAUUCUCAAAAAUAAAUAUUCUGUUCUGCUUUAUCUGGGUGGUUCAAGGACGGAAAGUCACAACCAUCUGACACCUUCAGGCAGGUGCUAAAUGCUCUAAAAAGACAUGAAGUUGGCAGCAAA